rnacentral:lncRNA from 1 species
AUCACCGCGAUGACUUGCAAGCAACUCACUAUGCUUUGAUACUGAUCUACCUGAAUUUUUAAUUCAGGACUGAAAGAUUUUUGGACAUAGUCAAGUACUUGUGAAGUCGGUGCAUGAGUCAAGAUGGAAUUGAUCACUCUAAAAGAUUAGAGAGAAUGCUUUAUAUUUCAAUGUAGUAAGACCUUGGCUAGGACAGUCCUUGUGAGGAGUCACAGGAUUUAUUAGGUUGAGAUACAUAAUAGAUGUACUG